CAGGCUGCUUUUUCUUUGUGUUUUCUACUGUCUCUGUGAAAUAGUUUUAGAGACUCUAUGAGGUAGUUAAGUUGGUAGUGCCUUCUCAGUACAGUAAAACCCUGGUGGUACAACUUCACCAUAUAGUAAUUUGGAAGUGACUCAAGUUCAGAAACUGGCUGGUUGCAUUGAAAGAAUCCUGAAAAUCCUGUGAAUGCUGUACAUUUAAUGCUGUAUCUCUGAGCAGGCAAUGCUCCAUGUCAUGGACCGUGG
rnacentral:lncRNA from 1 species